rnacentral:sRNA from 1 species
AGAGCUGAUGAACAGAUCUAGUUGCCUGGUGGAUGUCUCCUCCUAUCUCAGCUGCCCUCUCCUACCUCAGAGCUCCAUGAACAUCUUUCCUGAAGCUUCACAUUUGGUUGGUCAAAGAGGACAAACCUUCACAAAUAGUAUAGGACUAUUGUCAAUGAAACGAAAGGUUUAUAAGGUUUAUGAGUAAGCCGUGCUCCCCUGCUAGACUUCCUAAACAAGGUCAAUUUGUGUUUUGUAAUACUGUUAGAUCAAUAAGAAUUAAG